rnacentral:tRNA from 1 species
AAGGUUGUAGUUAAUACUAACAUUUGACUUGCACUCAAAAAAUAUUGAAAUAUCAAUCUACCUUG